GUGCGCUCACCCUGCCUAAAAUUGGAACAAUACAGAGAAGAUUAGCACAGCCCCUGUGCAAGGGUAACAUGGAAAUUCAUGAAGUGUUCCAUAUUUUU
rnacentral:snRNA from 1 species